rnacentral:rRNA from 1 species
CCUACGGGAGGCAGCAGUGGGGAAUUUUGGACAAUGGGCGCAAGCCUGAUCCAGCCAUGCCGCGUGAGUGAAGAAGGCCUUCGGGUUGUAAAGCUCUUUCGGCCGGGAGGAAAUCGCAUUGGUUAAUACCUGGUGUGGAUGACGGUACCGGAAUAAGAAGCACCGGCUAACUACGUGCCAGCAGCCGCGGUAAUACGUAGGGUGCGAGCGUUAAUCGGAAUUACUGGGCGUAAAGCGUGCGCAGGCGGUUUUGUAAGACGGGCGUGAAAUCCCCGGGCUCAACCUGGGAACUGCGCUUGUGACUGCAAGGCUAGAGUACGGCAGAGGGGGGUGGAAUUCCACGUGUAGCAGUGAAAUGCGUAGAGAUGUGGAGGAACACCAAUGGCGAAGGCAGCCCCCUGGGUCGAUACUGACGCUCAUGCACGAAAGCGUGGGUAGCAAACAGGAUUAGAUACCCUGGUAGUCCACGCCCUAAACGAUGUCAACUAGGUGUUGGAAGGGUAAAACCUUUUAGUACCGGAGCUAACGCGUGAAGUUGACCGCCUGGGGAGUACGGCCGCAAGGUUAAAACUCAAAGGAAUUGACGGGGACCCGCACAAGCGGUGGAUGAUGUGGAUUAAUUCGAUGCAACGCGAAAAACCUUACCUACCCUUGACAUGUCCAGGAGCCCUUAGAGAUUUGGGUGUGCCCGAAAGGGAACUGGAACACAGGUGCUGCAUGGCUGUCGUCAGCUCGUGUCGUGAGAUGUUGGGUUAAGUCCCGCAACGAGCGCAACCCUUGUCGUUAAUUGCCAUCAUUUAGUUGGGCACUUUAACGAGACUGCCGGUGACAAACCGGAGGAAGGUGGGGAUGACGUCAAGUCCUCAUGGCCCUUAUGGGUAGGGCUUCACACGUCAUACAAUGGUCGGUACAAAGGGUCGCCAACCCGCGAGGGGGAGCCAAUCCCAGAAAGCCGAUCGUAGUCCGGAUCGUAGGCUGCAACUCGCCUGCGUGAAGUCGGAAUCGCUAGUAAUCGUGGAUCAGCAUGUCACGGUGAAUACGUUCCCGGGCCUUGUAC